UACGGGGGGGGCAAGCGUUGUUCGGAAUUACUGGGCGUAAAGGGCUCGUAGGCGGCCAACUAAGUCAGACGUGAAAACCCCAGGCUUAACCUGGGAACUGCGUCUGAUACUGGAUGGCUUGAAUUCGGGAGAGGGAUGCAGAAUUCCAGGUGUAGCGGUGAAAUGCGUAGAUAUCUGGAGGAAUACCGGUGGCGAAGGCGGCAUCCUGGACCGACAUUGACGCUGAGGAGCGAAAGCAUGGGGAGCGAACAGG
rnacentral:rRNA from 1 species